rnacentral:rRNA from 1 species
GGUUAAGCGACUAAGCGUACACGGUGGAUGCCCUGGCAGUCAGAGGCGAUGAAGGGCGUGCUAAUCUGCGAUAAGCGCCGGUAAGGUGAUAGGUGAUA